rnacentral:lncRNA from 1 species
UAGCGUAAUCAAGUCCCCGAACUCAUUUAAUCUCUGGUUCGUAGGAGUGAAGUUAUCCUCCCAUUACUUUACUUGGGUUUCUAAUCGACCCACCCAAAAUAGAUUAGUGGCGACUCCAUGAUAAAAAUCAUUUGCAUAUUAAGAACUUGAACCUAAGUCGCGAAUUGGUAUGGGCUUGGGAGAGCCCGAGUUAAGUCUAGGCUUAACAAUCCAUUAGCCGAACCCUUAGGUGGUCCAACCCGCUUCGGGGAGGUCGCGACA